UGCAGAAUGUAGCUGAUGUCGUCCUCUCCCAGGACGCUGCUGCUGCCCACAAACUGGGCCCAAAAGAAAGCCCCGGACCCCGUUUCCUGCUGAAGGUUUGUGUCCAGGAAUGGUGCCUCCCAGAGAAGGCGGAGAUCACAUCUGUGGUGGGCUACCCCUCUGGCCCCCGGGCCCAGCAAAAUGAGCACGACCCCGGCCCUCCCAGCGCUGCUGGACGUACGCCAUGUAGCUCUUGAAGGCUCUGCCCAUGGAAGACCAGGUUGGUGUGGAGCCCAGGGCCCUGGGUCUGCUGCUGGGGCCACCGAGAGCAGAGACCACGGCCACAGCCACCCACAAGGUGACCCAGGGCUCCCCCACAAAAGGGAACAAGGGUGGACUGCUUGCCCAAGCUCGGAUAUUCCGAGACCCUAACCUGCAUCCUACUGUUGGCAGCCCCCGGGGUGCUCAGGAUCCCCAGCCCCAGUGGCCCAGGACCUUCAGGCCACUCCU